AGAGUUUGAUCAUGGCUCAGGAUGAACGCUAGCGACAGGCUUAACACAUGCAAGUCGAGGGGCAGCAUGAUUUGUAGCAAUACAGAUUGAUGGCGACCGGCGCACGGGUGAGUGACGCGUAUGCAACUUACCUAUCAGAGGGGGAUAGCCCGGCGAAAGUCGGAUUAAUACCCCAUAAAACAGGGGUCCCGCAUGGGAAUAUUUGUUAAAGAUUCAUCGCUGAUAGAUAGGCAUGCGUUCCAUUAGGCAGUUGGCGGGGUAACGGCCCACCAAACCGACGAUGGAUAGGGGUUCUGAGAGGAAGGUCCCCCACAUUGGUACUGAGACACGGACCAAACUCCUACGGGAGGCAGCAGUGAGGAAUAUUGGUCAAUGGCCGAGAGGCUGAACCAGCCAAGUCGCGUGAAGGAAGAAGGAUCUAUGGUUUGUAAACCUCUUUUAUAGGGGAAUAAAGUGGAGGACGUGUCCUUUUUUGUAUGUACCCUAUGAAUAAGCAUCGGCUAACUCCGUGCCAGCAGCCGCGGUAAUACGGAGGAUGCGAGCGUUAUCCGGAUUUAUUGGGUUUAAAGGGUGCGUAGGUGGUGAUUUAAGUCAGCGGUGAAAGUUUGUGGCUCAACCAUAAAAUUGCCGUUGAAACUGGGUUACUUGAGUGUGUUUGAGGUAGGCGGAAUGCGUGGUGUAGCGGUGAAAUGCAUAGAUAUCACGCAGAACUCCGAUUGCGAAGGCAGCUUACUAAACCAUAACUGACACUGAAGCACGAAAGCGUGGGGAUCAAACAGGAUUAGAUACCCUGGUAGUCCACGCAGUAAACGAUGAUUACUAGGAGUUUGCGAUACAAUGUAAGCUCUACAGCGAAAGCGUUAAGUAAUCCACCUAGGGAGUACGCCGGCAACGGUGAAACUCAAAGGAAUUGACGGGGGCCCGCACAAGCGGAGGAACAUGUGGUUUAAUUCGAUGAUACGCGAGGAACCUUACCCGGGUUUGAACGUAGUCUGACCGGAGUGGAAACACUCUUUCUAGCAAUAGCAGAUUACGAGGUGCUGCAUGGUUGUCGUCAGCUCGUGCCGUGAGGUGUCGGCUUAAGUGCCAUAACGAGCGCAACCCUUAUCACUAGUUACUAACAGGUGAAGCUGAGGACUCUGGUGAGACUGCCAGCGUAAGCUGUGAGGAAGGUGGGGAUGACGUCAAAUCAGCACGGCCCUUACAUCCGGGGCGACACACGUGUUACAAUGGCAUGGACAAAGGGCAGCUACCUGGUGACAGGAUGCUAAUCUCCAAACCAUGCCUCAGUUCGGAUCGGAGUCUGCUACUCGACUCCGUGAAGCUGGAUUCGCUAGUAACCGCGCAUCAGCCAUGGCGCGGUGAAUACGUUCCCGGGCCUUGUACACACCGCCCGUCAAGCCAUGGGAGCCGGGGGUACCUGAAGUCCGUAACCGCAAGGAUCGGCCUAGGGUAAAACUGGUGACUGGGGCUAAGUCGUAACAAGGUA
rnacentral:rRNA from 1 species